UUCCAGUCAAUGUUAUGUUUAUUUGGUUGAGAUUAGAUCAAAUCCCAUUCAGAACGAAUUUUUAUUUGCGUAUUUUGCCGAACAACAAUUAAAAAAAACUCACGGAGCAAUAUUAAUAACAACACAACACAACAUUGUUCAACAAAUAUAUUAUUAUUUGUUACUAAAAUUGCUUUAUUACGUGGUCUUUAUUUUGUUAACUUCAUUGCUUUUACAGUGGGUUAUUCUAUUAAUUCAUGGAUGUAAUAGUUCUUAAAGAUUUUAGCAGCCGUGGUGCAGUGAUUAGAGCAGCCAAAGGUUUCGGGUUCGAUUCCGCUCGAAGCACUUAAAUGGCUCGAAGCCAUUUUUUAUUUAUUUGAAGACAUUCGCUAAUUUGAAAACAUAAAUGUUAUGAAGCGCUUUAAAAUCUGUUGUUUGUUUACCUGUUAAAAAAAAGAACUAAAUUUAUACAGAAAAUUGUAAAAAGAUUGUCAAGGGUGCGAACAGAUAGAGGAAGAAGUUAGAAUAGUGUUAAAGCAUGCUCCUAAUCGACCUGGUGGAGUUAACUAAGAGACAAAACUUACAGCAAAUGCUCAAAAUAAAGAUGUGUUGCAGCGACAUUUUAAAAAAAAGUUCUGAAAGUACAGGCUAGCAUAUGUUAUGUUAUAUGACCAGAUCAAAAAGUCCAGUCAGUUGCAACAACAAUUAAAGCAGCAAGAAACAGCCAAGUACACAUGCAAGUGAUUGUUAUGAGGAUUGCAAAAGUUUUAAAUAUCAGAAAUUGAAGAAGGCAUUGAUAAUCAGCAGAUAAUAAAAAAAACAAAAGUACUGAUUAUACAAAUCUUUUAAAGUUAAACGAUCACUACUUCCACAGCCACCUUGUCUCAAGCAUUCAAUUGCAUUCUAAGAUAUCUUUAUUCAAAUCAAGUGUGACUACUAUACCAAAAGACUGUAAAAUGGACCAAUCAACUAACCCAUCAGUACUUGCAAAGUCUCCUUUUCUAUUAGCUCAAAAAUUGAGUUCUAAAAUACCAUUAUUCACAUAACUACUAUAUCAAAGCACAAACUAAUGGAUUGAUCAAUGAAACUGUCGGUAUCUCCACAACUUUUCAAUUAAAUAGAAAGUUUCAAUCAAACAGGAUACUACGUGUGCCUACUGCUCCUCAAGACAAUGGAUAAUGGGAAAAAAAGAUUCUAUGACUUCGGUAUCCGUAAUAUGGUAUUGUGCAUUGGUUCUAAUCUUAGAAUGGCUCUCUUCCGUAUAGGUGGAAAUAGGAAAGGUUAUGUCCUUUUUUCUAAUUUUUAAGACAAAGAGGCUUAAUCAGUUCAAGCAAAGAUGACAAUGAUCAUUAUGGAGCCGAUCAUGAUGACGAAUGCGAUAAUGCAUAUAAUAAUAAAUAAAAUGAUUUUACUUGUAUUUUAGACUUAUAUAAAUAAAAAAUUAUCUGUUUAA